rnacentral:rRNA from 1 species
UGCAGUCGAGCGGACCUCUUCGGAGGUCAGCGGCGGACGGGUGAGUAACACGUGGGCAACCUGCCUGUAAGACUGGGAUAACUCCGGGAAACCGGAGCUAAUACCGGAUACUAUGUCAAACCGCAUGGUUUGACAUUCAAAGACGGUUUCGGCUGUCACUUACAGAUGGGCCCGCGGCGCAUUAGCUAGUUGGUGAGGUAACGGCUCACCAAGGCGACGAUGCGUAGCCGACCUGAGAGGGUGAUCGGCCACACUGGGACUGAGACACGGCCCAGACUCCUACGGGAGGCAGCAGUAGGGAAUCUUCCGCAAUGGACGAAAGUCUGACGGAGCAACGCCGCGUGAGUGAUGAAGGUUUUCGGAUCGUAAAACUCUGUUGUCAGGGAAGAACAAGUGCCGGAGUAACUGCCGGCGCCUUGACGGUACCUGACCAGAAAGCCACGGCUAACUACGUGCCAGCAGCCGCGGUAAUACGUAGGUGGCAAGCGUUGUCCGGAAUUAUUGGGCGUAAAGCGCGCGCAGGCGGUUUCUUAAGUCUGAUGUGAAAGCCCCCGGCUCAACCGGGGAGGGUCAUUGGAAACUGGGAAACUUGAGUGCAGAAGAGGAGAGUGGAAUUCCACGUGUAGCGGUGAAAUGCGUAGAGAUGUGGAGGAACACCAGUGGCGAAGGCGACUCUCUGGUCUGUAACUGACGCUGAGGCGCGAAAGCGUGGGGAGCGAACAGGAUUAGAUACCCUGGUAGUCCACGCCGUAACGAUGAGUGCUAAGUGUUAGAGGGUUUCCGCCCUUUAGUGCUGCAGCUAACGCAUUAAGCACUCCGCCUGGGGAGUACGGUCGCAAGACUGAAACUCAAAGGAAUUGACGGGGGCCCGCACAAGCGGUGGAGCA